rnacentral:rRNA from 1 species
UGGGGAAUAUUGGACAAUGGGCGAAAGCCUGAUCCAGCAAUGCCGCGUGAGUGAUGAAGGCCUUAGGGUUGUAAAGCUCUUUUUACCAGGGAUGAUAAUGACAGUACCUGGAGAAUAAGCUCCGGCUAACUCCGUGCCAGCAGCCGCGGUAAUACGGAGGGAGCUAGCGUUGUUCGGAAUUACUGGGCGUAAAGCGUACGUAGGCGGUGACUCAAGUCAGAGGUGAAAGCCUGGAGCUCAACUCCAGAACUGCCUUUGAAACUAGGUCGCUAGAAUCACGGAGAGGUGAGUGGAAUUCCGAGUGUAGAGGUGAAAUUCGUAGAUAUUCGGAAGAACACCAGUGGCGAAGGCGGCUCACUGGACGUGUAUUGACGCUGAGGUACGAAAGCGUGGGGAGCAAACAGGAUUAGAUACCCC